rnacentral:rRNA from 1 species
AUACGGAGGGUGCAAGCGUUACUCGGAAUCACUGGGCGUAAAGCGCGCGCAGGCGGCUAUUUAAGUUGGAUGUGAAAGCCUACGGCUCAACCGUAGAACUGCAUCCAAAACUAUUUAGCUAGAGUGUGGGAGAGGAAGAUGGAAUUAGUUGUGUAGGGGUAAAAUCCGUAGAGAUAACUAGGAAUACCAAAAGCGAAGGCAAUCUUCUGGAACACUACUGACGCUGAGGCGCGAAAGCGGGGGGAGCAAACGGGAUUAGAAACCCUAGUAGUCC